GGUUCAUGAUGACACAGGACCUUGUGUGAACAUAAUGAUUUCAAAAUUUGAGCUUAAAUUCUCCUUGUUAAAUA
ensembl:snoRNA